AUUGAACGCUAGCGGGAUGCUUUACACAUGCAAGUCGAACGAGUGGCGGACGGGUGAGUAAUAUAUCGGAACGUGCCCAGUAGCGGGGGAUAACUACUCGAAAGAGUGGCUAAUACCGCAUACCAUUAGAGCGGCCGAUAUCGGAUUAGUUAGUUGGUGGGGGAAAGGCUCACCAAGGCAACGAACCCUAGCUGGUUUGAGAGGACGACCAGCCACACUGGGACUGAGAAACGGCCCAGAAGCCUACGGGAGGCAGCAGUGGGGAAGUUUGGACAAUGGGGGAAACCCUGAUCCAGCCAUCCCGCGUGUAUGAGAAGGCCUUCGGGUUGUAAAGUACUUUUGGCAGGGAAGCGGUAUCUGCAGAAGAAGCGCCGGCUAACUACGUGCCAGCAGCCGCGGUAAUAC
rnacentral:rRNA from 1 species